UACGGAGGGUGCAAGCGUUAUCCGGAUUCACUGGGUUUAAAGGGUGCGUAGGAGGGCAGGUAAGUCAGUGGUGAAAUCUCCAAGCUUAACUUGGAACUGCCGUUGAUACUAUCUGUCUUGAAUAUUGUGGAGGUGAGCGGAAUAUGUCAUGUAGCGGUGAAAUGACUUAGAUAUGACAUAGAACACCAAUUGCGAAGGCAGCUCACUACUCAAUCAUUGACUCUGAGGCACGAAAGCGUGGGGGAUCAAACAGG
rnacentral:rRNA from 1 species